AGCUGCCUUGACUGAGUAAGUCAGAGAAGGCUUCCUGGAGGAGAGCGAAGGGUGUGGGGCUGGGUUGAGAUACAGGAAGAUCUGGGUUUGAAUUAUAGUUUGGCUGCUUCCUAGCUGUUUGAUCUUGGACAAAACUUUCAUUCAUUCUAUAUUUUUUGGAGUGUCUACUCCAUGCCAAUCAUGUGUGAAAUGUUGGGAUAACAAAGGCGAAUUCAAUCUGGCUCUCGUCCUCGGAGCUUAAGCAAAUCAUCUGGGGUAGCGUGACCCAUGCUACGAUGGAGGUGGAAUACGGGGCUGCAGGGCGGGGCCACAGGACAUAGUGGGCAGCUUAACCUCCUUGAGCCUCCCUAUCCCUAAUUCACGUGAUGGGGUUUGUAACCACUUCUCACAUCGUUGAGAGAAAAGGGUGAGCCUGACUCAGAGGUGUGGCAAAGGAAGGGCAGGGCAGGCUUUAAGGACAGGGACAGGGCUGUCAGAGGCUGAGGCUAGGGAGGGGCAGGAAGGGGUGUGAGGCAGGGCGGAAGAGAGCAGGGCCCUGGGCAGGUGCUGAGCCAGGUCCUGCAGGUCACCCAGUCGCUUGAGUCCACGAAUGCUGGAGGCAGGCACUGGAGAGCCAGGGUGGUUCAGCCGCAGCUCCUCUGAGCAGGGAGUCAAACAGGGCUGAAACAGACACCAGCUCUCCAGGACCAGCUGGUAAGAGCUUCUCCACUGCCCCCGAGCCCUGACAGGAGGACUCCCACAGUGUGCAUGGAAGCCCAGGGAGCUCGGGGGCUACAGAGGCACCAUUGGCUCUGGAGCCUGCAGCCCAGACAGCCCCCUCCAGAUGUAAUGGGGGAAGGAGCCAGGGACUGGGAGGAAUUCAGAGGUCAGAGGAGGAGCAGUAUCAGGAGAUACUGCCCUCCUGCAACUCCUCCUCCCAGCUGCUCUCCCCUCCUGCUAGUGCCCACAAUGGCUCCCAGCUGCCUCCUAUAAGGAAGCUUUAUUAGCCUGCAGCCUGUACUCCUCCACGCAGCAGAGCUGACAGGACCCCAUUAGUCAGCUUAUUCAACCCUUCCCCUGGUGCACAAACCCUUGCCAAGCUUUUCUGGCAUUUUGCUCAGCCUGCUUGGACCCUCCAAGCAGGUAGGAACUCACUGUUUCACAAAGCAGUGUUAUUAGAAAGGUUUCCCUGACCCUAGCCCCCCACAUCUAAUCUUUCUCAAAUGUGGGCAGACUUGUUCCUGGCCCCUUCUCAUUCCACCAGUGCACACAUGCACAUGCUCCCUCUCUCCAUCCAAGCUCCAGGAAUCAACCUCUACCCUGAACCAGGUCCCUGAGGACCACCACGUGGCUGCAACACAGCAGGUGUGGGGCAGGGCACAAGUGGGCUUAAGGGGGGUAUAAGGGCUGGCAGUUUGCUCAUUGAUUCACUCAACAAACAUGUACUGAGCACCUCUAAAGGGCCAGGGCCUGUGCUAGGCACUGCGGUGCCAUGGUGAGCAAAUCCAGAAAUGGACCCUGCCCUCUAGGAGUUCACAGUCCAGAGGAGAAGCCCGAUGCUGAACAGAGAAUCACAUCCGUGAGCAACACAAAAGGCAAGGCAAACCCUGGGCAGAUGCCCCCGGGACUGUGUGUUAUGGGCCUACAGGAAGCCUCUCCCAAUGAAAAAGCAAUUUUUCAGCCAGAACCUCCACCAGUGUCUUUCAAACUGUCUCAAUCAAAAACCUCUGAAAGCCACUGGCCUAGAGUUAGAGGAAGAGUUAGCCAUGAGAAAUGGUGGUGACACAGGUUCCAAAAGAAGAAACAAUAGGUAUCAGGCUCAGAGAUGAAAGGGCUAGAAGGAGGACACACCAAGUUCAAGGUCUGGCCUUUCUCGAGGGCAGUGGGGAGCCAUGGGAGGUUAGCAAGAUCCCAUCUUCUUCAUCCCUGGGCCUCACCCCAUGGGCAGGAGGGAAAUGGCAGGAAGUUGUCUUUGUGUCUCCCCAGGAGCCUGGACCUGUGGCCUUCCCUGCCUCCACCUGGGCCUCAACCGUCACGACCACCUGGCCUUUGAGGUAGGGUUUGGAGAAGGAAGUCAGCCUAUUAUCAGGAGAAGGCUUGAAUUUCUAUAUUCAUAGCUUGUUUCUGUCACUUACUAGCCUUGUGAUCAUGGGCAACUUGUCUAAUCUCUGUCCCUCAGUUUCCUCCUUUGUAAAAUAGGUCUCAUAGAACUCAUCCCCAAAAGUCCUUGUGAAGAUUUAGUUUGUAAGCCAGAUGUCUGCAGACCUCCAGUAAAAGAAUAUGUUUUUGGUAUUAGUAUGUAUGUCCCAAAUAUUGCUUGGAAUAUGCUUAUACAAACAAAAAUCAUUUGUUUUUUAUCUGAAAUUCAAAUUUACCUGGAUGUCCUGUAUUUUAUCUGGAAACCCUACACAGAAAUCAAAUGGCUCACGCUGUGUCUCAGAGCUGCAACGAUCCAACGCCCUCCAUCCUUCAGAGGCUGUCUGAGUCCGGGGACACAACUCCCACCCUCCUCUCCUGCCAGCCGCGGCCCGUGGCUGCUCUCUUCACUUCGUCCCGCUUCGCCCCGACUGUGGAUCUACCCGCUCCCUUCUCCCUCAGUCCCCAAAGCACCAGACUCACAGGCCUGCUGUGUGACCCACUUUUACCGACCUUUCGGGGAGAGUAGAGGGCAUUUGUGACUCAGCUCAGAGCAGGAAACACAUCUCACGUCAACUGUCAGACAGCGCUGCUCCGAAUCCCAUCACAGUGCUCCAGCAGGGGGCGUCCUCACCGGCCGCGGCCACAGCCACGGCUCAACCCGGCCUAGCUCCCAGACACCCUCCUUCCACCGCCUGUUUUCCACCGUCCCCGCCUGCUCUUUCAAGCCAGCAGCAAACAACACCCUAAUCCGUGUCUUUAUUAUUCAAAGACCUUAAGCACUCUUUCCCACCUCGUUCCCAUCUUGAUUAUUUCAGGGAAUGAAUUAGGGAUUCACCUUUACAAUCAAAAAAGUUCUCUCAAAGCCAGGCUACUGGAGUUCUAAUUCUGCCUUCCCACUUUUACUAGCUGUGAAAUCUCAGGAAAGUUACUUAACCUCUCUCUGUCUCAUUUUCCUCAUCUUUAAAAAACAGGAUGAUAAUAUUUAGCUCCUAAGAUGGUUGUGAGGAUUUAAGUGAGCUGAUAUAUCCAAGAAUGUCUAGAACAGCGCGUGGCAGAAUGGGCAUUGCAUAUGGGUUUAAUCUUGUAACUGCCAUGUUUCACCAAUUCUAAGGUGUAUCUCGUUUCUCAUCAUAAGAGCUCUUCCGCUCGUGUGGCAGCUGGGAGUGGCCGUCAUUGCCUGCGCAUACCUAAACUUGGUCAGCAGCCAAGUGUUUUGUGAGACCUAAGAAAGGAAGAGCCCCAUAAGUAAAUGGAACUGUUGUGUUGUUUUAUUACCGAGAAAAGGGCAGAAUGAUUGCUAGUCACACGUGAAGCAAGAAAACCCCGGCAAUAAAGCUUGCAGAAUGAGUGGCUGAGGCUUGAAAAUAAAUGGUGGAAACAAUAGUGGACAAUCUUUUAAAGAAUGGCACAUUGCCAAUGCUCCUGAUGGCACAGAAGGUGACACCAUGCAGAAAAUCAAGGCUCUGAGUCAAAGAGGGUUUCAGAAAAAUUGGACUCUGAAUGUGAAGAAAUCUGGGGACUAUUUUAGCCAAUUUGUUUUGCCUAUAAUUUCCUUUUAUGCAUGCAAAAGAGCAAUUCUGAC
rnacentral:lncRNA from 1 species